rnacentral:rRNA from 1 species
CCUGAAACCGUGUACGUACAAGCAGUGGGAGCACGCUUAGGCGUGUGACUGCGUACCUUUUGUAUAAUGGGUCAGCGACUUAUAUUCUGUAGCAAGGUUAACCGAAUAGGGGAGCCGAAGGGAAACCGAGUCUUAACUGGGCGUUAAGUUGCAGGGUAUAGACCCGAAACCCGGUGAUCUAGCCAUGGGCAGGUUGAAGGUUGGGUAACACUAACUGGAGGACCGAACCGACUAAUGUUGAAAAAUUAGCGGAUGACUUGUGGCUGGGGGUGAAAGGCCAAUCAAACCGGGAGAUAGCUGGUUCUCCCCGAAAGCUAUUUAGGUAGCGCCUCGUGAAUUCAUCUCCGGGGGUAGAGCACUGUUUCGGCAAGGGGGUCAUCCCGACUUACCAACCCGAUGCAAACUGCGAAUACCGGAGAAUGUUAUCACGGGAGACACACGGCGGGUGCUAACGUCCGUCGUGAAGAGGGAAACAACCCAGACCGCCAGCUAAGGUCCCAAAGUCAUGGUUAAGUGGGAAACGAUGUGGGAAGGCCCAGACAGCCAGGAUGUUGGCUUAGAAGCAGCCAUCAUUUAAAGAAAGCGUAAUAGCUCACUGGUCGAGUCGGCCUGCGCGGAAGAUGUAACGGGGCUAAACCAUGCACCGAAGCUGCGGCAGCGACGCUGAUGCGUUGUUGGGUAGGGGAGCGUUCUGUAAGCCUGCGAAGGUGUGCUGUGAGGCAUGCUGGAGGUAUCAGAAGUGCGAAUGCUGACAUAAGUAACGAUAAAGCGGGUGAAAAGCCCGCUCGCCGGAAGACCAAGGGUUCCUGUCCAACGUUAAUCGGGGCAGGGUGAGUCGACCCCUAAGGCGAGGCCGAAAGGCGUAGUCGAUGGGAAACAGGUUAAUAUUCCUGUACUUGGUGUUACUGCGAAGGGGGGACGGAGAAGGCUAUGUUGGCCGGGCGACGGUUGUCCCGGUUUAAGCGUGUAGGCUGGUUUUCCAGGCAAAUCCGGAAAAUCAAGGCUGAGGCGUGAUGACGAGGCACUGCGGUGCUGAAGCAACAAAUGCCCUGCUUCCAGGAAAAGCCUCUAAGCAUCAGGUAACAUCAAAUCGUACCCCAAACCGACACAGGUGGUCAGGUAGAGAAUACCAAGGCGCUUGAGAGAACUCGGGUGAAGGAACUAGGCAAAAUGGUGCCGUAACUUCGGGAGAAGGCACGCUGAUAUGUAGGUGAAGUCCCUCGCGGAUGGAGCUGAAAUCAGUCGAAGAUACCAGCUGGCUGCAACUGUUUAUUAAAAACACAGCACUGUGCAAACACGAAAGUGGACGUAUACGGUGUGACGCCUGCCCGGUGCCGGAAGGUUAAUUGAUGGGGUUAGCGCAAGCGAAGCUCUUGAUCGAAGCCCCGGUAAACGGCGGCCGUAACUAUAACGGUCCUAAGGUAGCGAAAUUCCUUGUCGGGUAAGUUCCGACCUGCACGAAUGGCGUAAUGAUGGCCAGGCUGUCUCCACCCGAGACUCAGUGAAAUUGAACUCGCUGUGAAGAUGCAGUGUACCCGCGGCAAGACGGAAAGACCCCGUGAACCUUUACUAUAGCUUGACACUGAACAUUGAGCCUUGAUGUGUAGGAUAGGUGGGAGGCUUUGAAGUGUGGACGCCAGUCUGCAUGGAGCCGACCUUGAAAUACCACCCUUUAAUGUUUGAUGUUCUAACGUUGACCCGUAAUCCGGGUUGCGGACAGUGUCUGGUGGGUAGUUUGACUGGGGCGGUCUCCUCCUAAAGAGUAACGGAGGAGCACGAAGGUUGGCUAAUCCUGGUCGGACAUCAGGAGGUUAGUGCAAUGGCAUAAGCCAGCUUGACUGCGAGCGUGACGGCGCGAGCAGGUGCGAAAGCAGGUCAUAGUGAUCCGGUGGUUCUGAAUGGAAGGGCCAUCGCUCAACGGAUAAAAGGUACUCCGGGGAUAACAGGCUGAUACCGCCCAAGAGUUCAUAUCGACGGCGGUGUUUGGCACCUCGAUGUCGGCUCAUCACAUCCUGGGGCUGAAGUAGGUCCCAAGGGUAUGGCUGUUCGCCAUUUAAAGUGGUACGCGAGCUGGGUUUAGAACGUCGUGAGACAGU